rnacentral:rRNA from 1 species
GACGAACGCUGGCGGCGUGCCUAAUACAUGCAAGUCGAACGGUUUAGUUCCAAGAGGCUUGCCUUUUGGAACUAGACAGUGGCGGACGGGUGAGUAACACGUAGGCAACCUACCUGUCAAACCGGGAUAACCUCGGGAAACCGAAGCUAAACCCGGCUAAGCUCCUUUUUCGCAUGAAGGUGGAGUGAAAAGGUGCGACCUGAUGACAGAUUGGCCUGCGGCGCAUUAGCUAGUAGGUAGGGUAACGGCCUACCUAAGCGAUGAUGCGUAGCCGACCUGAGAGGGCGUACGGCCACACUGGGACUGGGAUACGGCCCAGACUCCUACGGGAGGGAGCAGUAGGGAAGCUGCGGCAAUGGGCGAAAGCCUGACCGAGCAACGCCGCGUGAGUGAGGAAGGCCUUCGGGUUGUAAAACUCUGUUGUUUGGGAAGAAGGGAAAGGGUAGGACCCUUAGGUGACGGUACCAAACGAGAAAGCCCCGGCUAACUACGUG